rnacentral:rRNA from 1 species
AUUGAACGCUGGCGGCAGGCCUAACACAUGCAAGUCGAACGAGUGGCGGACGGGGGAGUAAUGUCUGGGAAACUGCCCGAUGGAGGGGGAUAACUACUGGAAACGGUAGCUAAUACCGCAUACCAUCGGAUGUGCCUAGAUGGGAUUAGCUAGUAGGUGGGGUAACGGCUCACCUAGGCGAAGGUCCCUAGCUGGUCUGAGAGGAUUACCAGCCACAUCGGAACUGCGACACGGUCCAGACUCCUACGGGAGGCAGCAGUGGGGAAUAUUGCACAAUGGGCGCAAGCCUGAUGCAGCCAUGCCGCGUGUAUGAAGAAGGCCUUCGGGUUGUAAAGUACUUUCAGCGAGGAGGCGUUACUCGCAGAAGAAGCACCGGCUAACUCCGUGCCAGCAGCCGCGGUAAUAC